rnacentral:rRNA from 1 species
GUACAUGCCGUAUUAAGGCGAAACCGCGAAUGGCUCAUUAAAUCAGUUAUGGUUCCUUGGAUCGUACCUUACUACUUGGAUAACUGUGGUAAUUCUAGAGCUAAUACAUGCAGCAGAGCUCCGACCUUCGGGGACGAGCGCUUUUAUUAGACCAAAACCAAUCAGGCUUUGCCUGUUCUUUGUGGUGACUCUGAAUAACUUUGGGCUGAUCGCACGGGCCCGUCCCGGCGACGUAUCUUUCAAGUGUCUGCCUUAUCAACUUUCGAUGGUAGGUUACGCGCCUACCAUGGUCGUAACGGGUAACGGGGAAUCAGGGUUCGAUUCCGGAGAGGGAGCCUGAGAAACGGCUACCACAUCCAAGGAAGGCAGCAGGCGCGCAAAUUACCCACUCCCAGAACGGGGAGGUAGUGACGAAAAAUAACAAUACGGGACUCUUUUGAGACCCCGUAAUUGGAAUGAGUACACUCUAAAUCCUUUAACGAGGAUCCAUUGGAGGGCAAGUCCGGUGCCAGCCGCCGCGGUAACUCCGGCUCCAAUAGCGUAUAUUAAAGUUGUUGCGGUUAAAAAGCUCGUAGUUGGAUCUCAGUUCCAGACGGGUGGUCCGCCUACCGGUGGUUACUGCCUGUUCUGAACAGCCAGCCGGUUUCUCUUGAUGAUCUUCACCGGUUGUCUUGGGUGACCGGCAAGUUUACUUUGAAAAAAUUAGAGUGCUCAAAGCAGGCGCGACGCCUGAAUAAUGGUGCAUGGAAUAAUGGAAUAGGACCUCGGUUCUAUUUUGUUGGUUUUCGGAACACGAGGUAAUGAUUAAGAGGGACAGACGGGGGCAUUCGUAUUGCGACGCUAGAGGUGAAAUUCUUGGACCGUCGCAGGACGAACUACUGCGAAAGCAUUUGCCAAGAAUGUUUCCAUUAAUCAAGAACGAAAGUUAGAGGUUCGAAGGCGAUCAGAUACCGCCCUAGUUCUAACCAUAAACGAUGCCAGCCAGCGAUCCGGCUGUGUUCCUCAAAUGACACGCCGGGCAGCUUCCGGGAAACCAAAGCUUUUGGGUUCCGGGGGAAGUAUGGUUGCAAAGCUGAAACUUAAAGGAAUUGACGGAAGGGCACCACCAGGAAUGGAGCCUGCGGCUUAAUUUGACUCAACACGGGAAAACUCACCCGGCCCGGACACAGGAAGGAUUGACAGAUUAAGAGCUCUUUCUUGAUUCUGUGGGUGGUGGUGCAUGGCCGUUCUUAGUUGGUGGAGCGAUUUGUCUGGUUAAUUCCGAUAACGAACGAGACUCUAGCCUACUAAAUAGACGUUCCUGUCAACUCCGCAGGACGUUCUUCUUAG